AAUGUUAGGGGCGAACUCAGUGCCCCCACUGACGGGCGACUUGCUACUGUAAAAUGCUAGCUCUGCGGUCCAGUGACAGCUGACGCUGAGAACUACAAGUGUCACUCACUGUAAACUACUGUAAAAUGUAUAGUGAUGUACUGCGCUCUACGGCUCCUAGAGAUCCCACCGCCUGCACUGUCCGUCACUUGUGUACCGCUCCGCGCGCUGUGCCCCGCUGGUACACACAGCGAUUACUGAGUUCCGUGCAUUGCCCCAAAUUACAGCAGUCAUUAGUCUGAAGCCUUGUAGUGUGCAGAUCCUGACACAACACUUCCUACUCUACUGUACAGAGAAAGUUAUACAGUUUCACCCACUAAAUAACGCUAUAAAGCUUUUAAGUUGCGUUAAAAGUAACAUUUCUGCACACUUUGCUGUGAUUUGCUGGCUGUGCUGUCGGUCAAGAGAGGUCUGCAGUGUUAAGAAUAUGGAGGGGGCGGUGCCCGGGAGCUAUUGGAGAUGUGAAGCUUGAUUCGAGCUGCCAAAGCUCAGGAGAUGGGAUUUUGGAUAACAGGUCCCAGGAAGAAGUCUGGUCUGUCCUAAAAGCAGAUCAGAUCACUUUGGAGAAUUUAUUAUUACCCACUUUUUUGUGCCUUUCUAUCACCAUCCCUACAGGAGUCCAACACUACACAAAGAAGCCCACAGAGCUGACACUUCAUUUCCUCUGGACGCCUGCUUGCUGCAAUUUCAGAUGAAUGGUUAUGACACCCAAAUCUAGUGGGUGGUGUCAUUUCACCUUGAUUUAUUUUAUUCUUCAGUUUCUUUAACUUCUCGUGUUUUUACAGAAAAUAAAAUCAUGAAUGUGGUGUAUUGUUUAGUGUUUUAAAAUAUACUUUAUAUGUUAGACUUUAAAAAACAAAACAAAAAAAAAAAAACCUUUGUUACCAACAUAUUAUUUAAUCACUCCCUUUCUAAAUAUAAGCUUUGAGCUUUCUAGACCAAAUAUUAACUAUUUAAAUUUGAAAAUGCAUAAAUGUUUAUUGGAAUUCAAAGGAAAGUUUCUUUUUUUUUUUCUCAUCCACUUUGUAGUUAGCAUUUUCUUUAUGAGUACAGGGGUUGUCGGUAAUCUGUAGCUCUCUGAACAGGCAACUCUCAGUUGGGGUCUGAGUUUGAAGGAUGAAGAUAAUAAUGGUUGUAUAGGUGAUGCUGGAGAAAUCAUUAUUUUGCACUGAAUAUUUAAACACAUCUAUUGUAAGAUUGAUAUAUUUAGCUUGCGGACAGAAUGCUCAUCUUGUCACUUUUUCUAUGUCUAUAUUUGAAAUUUUUUACACAAAGAUGUUUUGAUUAAAAAAAAUAUAUAUAUAUA